UCGAUAGGUAGGCUACUCAAGUUUAACCAAACUGUUCGUGGACCCCGUUUACUUCCAUAGUAUUACUUUUCCAAUUCCUGCUAUAGAAGUGAAUGGGAUCCAAAGACAUUUAUGCAGGUUUGUAACAACAUGAGGGUGAGUAAAUGAUGACAGAGUUUUCAUUUUUGGGUGAACUAUUUAACCUUUUACAGCUUAGCAGAAAAAUGUUAUGUGACCUUUAAAAAUAGGAUAAAGUACAUCUUUAACAAAAGCAAAGAUUAAAAAACAAAUUGUAGAAUAAAUAGAAAGUGCUACACAAGUGUAAAACAAUACAAAAUCGUCCCACUAUCACAUGCAGAUGUGUCACUUUGCAAUGGGGCAAUGAUGAAUAGUACACAGAACAACCAAAUAAGUUUUUACGAUUUAUAAACAAUUUAAAGAUAUUUUAAAGUGUUAUGUACUGUUCUAAUUCCAGAGAUGUUUAUUUAUGUAAAUGGUGUGAGGCUUUACCAUGUAUAUAAUAGGCCAAUGGCUAUGCUGUGCACGCGAAACAUGUCCUGCCCCUUUAAAUCACGAAGGGAGUUACCAUGGAAACUGAAGGAGCACGAGGACAGCUAGCUCCGUCUCCCGCGGUUUCUUCGCUGUUUUCAAGUAAGUUUAGUCCAUCAAAUCACACAAAUAAUACUAAAACCUGUUGUUGACACGCUUUUGUUAUAUAUUUACCUCAUAUAAAUGGCUUGUGUCUUUGAGAAAAGUUCGUUACCAUCCCAACAUGUUUCCGCACAUGCGGUCGGAACUGUGCUUCCGGUUUCUGUUGGUUUACUUGCUAAACUGAUCUCUUGAAAAAAUAACUCGUCGAAAAUAUUUUUUUUGUUUCCAAUGUAAUAUACGUGUUGUUAAUUUGCUUGUUAUAAGCUAGGACUUUGUUGUUAUUUUUGCUUAGCAGAGUUUAACGGAAGUUACGUGUUUUCCACAAAAGCCUCUUUACUGAGUGACAAAAACCCUCUAUAAUAGAAGAGAAGCUCAAGAUUUCAACAUUUUCUGAAGGGAGUUGCAGACAGGUGUAGAAAACUGCUUUUCAAAUUUUCCACAUUUAUCACAGUUAUUUUAAGAUGUUGACAUCUAAACAUUUGUCCAUGCUAAUGGCCAAGCAGUAGGGUUGGAACAGACCUGUCAGAAAACAUCUCUGAACCAUAUGACUAAUUUCAAAACAAUUUAUUCUUGAGAGGAGGCACCACAGUUAAAGACAGUGUUUUGAAGAAUUUUGAACUUCCUGCUCACAAACUACAUACUUCUCCAGUUAGUCUGACAGGCUAUCAAUGAGAAGGCAGCAUUACAGGACACCACUGAAAACUAUACCACUAAAAACUGAUUAUUGCUGCAGUCAGAAGAAACAGAUUAACAGCAACUAUCUGCUUGAGACCAAGAGAUUGAGCACUGGGUUAAGACAUGGUUGCAGCUUGCCACAGACAGAGAUGAAGGUCGUUGGGCAAAAGAGAAGAUUUAAAGGCAUAGCUCACCCAAAAAUGGAAACUCAUUUACUUACCAUCAAGAUGUUUCAAACUCUAUCAAAUGUAUUUGUUCAGUUACUGACUGUUAUAAAUUAUACAGGUUUGGAACAACCUUUGGGUGAGCAAAAUUACAGUUUUAAUUUUAAUUAGUGAACUAUCCCUAUUGUGAGUUUUAUAAGUUUAUUAAGAAAUGUUGAGUAUUAUAUCAGAGUUUUGUAUGUAAGGAGAUGGUAGUUGUACGUUUGUGUGUUAAUAUAGAUGGUUUCAGUAGCAACAACAUAAAUCACUUUCAUGGCCCAAACUUAACUUCGGGUAGACCUCCACAUAGAUUCAAUAACAACCGAGUAUCUCUGGAGCAGUUUUUUUUCUGAUAACAAACAAAAUAAAUAACCAGUAAAUAGCCUUAGAUCAAAUCAUAGCUAAAGCAUUUCAACCAUUACAUUGAUCUAAUGUUACUGGGUAAAAUUAAGCUUUACAAUUUUAGCUACAGAUCUUUGAAAAUGUUUGUACGGUAUACUGUCCAUUUCCAGAAAGGUAAUAAAAACAGCGUGCACAGUGACGCUGCUGACGUGUUAUCCUCAGACAUGUUUGUGAAGAUUGUUUUGUUUAUAGCGUGCGUCUCCCUCAGACUGUAAAAAAAGCUUGGGAACAAGAAAAAGCUUGGGCAAACAAGAUAACAUGUCAGCAGCGUCACUCCAGUGUUGUGCACGAGGUUCACAACAGACCUGGAAGAGAAGACGAUGCUGAAUAAAGUCAUAAUUUCUGUUAUUUUUGGACCAAAAUUUAUUUUCGAUGCUUCAACACAUUCUAACUGACCCACUGAUAUCACAUGGACUACUUUGAUGAUGUUUUUAUUACCAUUCUGGACAUGUACAGUAUAUAUUUGAUCGUGUAUACACAUAUCUAAAACAUCUUAAACUGUUUCCGAAGAUGAACGGAGGUGUUACGGGUUUGGAAUGACAUGAGGGUCAUUAAUUACAUAAUUUUCAUUUUGGAUGAAAUAACCCUUUAAGUUUGGCCAGGUGUGUAACUGUGGCAACGCACAUGCAUCUAUGGGUUCCAGUAUAUCUUACUAUAUAACAUAUUAAUUUAACUAACAUGUUUGACAAAUAUAAUUAUGUUUAUUUAUAAAUUAUUAUCUGUAUUGGAUUUUUUAAAUGUUUAAUAAAGAAAUUUUGACUAUA